rnacentral:lncRNA from 1 species
AGAUUUUUAUUUUUUUAUUUUUGGGAUUCCUAAUGAUAUAUUUCCAAAGUAGGUUAUAACUCGUGGAAACCACGGUUAUAAAAUAAAUUAAAUAUUAAUUAUAAUAAAUUAGGCAACAGAUAUUAUAAAUCAAUUUUUUGCUAACAUGUUUCAUCUGUGUAAAAAAGAAGUAGUGAAUUAGUGGAAAUGUAAUUAAUGAGGAAAAACCGAAGACUGACAAAUGGCAAAUAAUUAAUUUCAAGUUCUAAUUAAUUGACACGUGGCAAAUUUGCUACUCUUUUAUUAGGUAGAGAGAUAUUUAAUGUCACACUUUUCAUAGAAAGUCUAAUUUUAUACACUAAUAAUAUUGUAUAUAUGUUAUAUUAUUAUGUUUAUUUAACUUUUUGCUAAAAUUAAGUAAAAAACAAAUUUUUUUCUCUGACAUUUCAACAUUGUUCAUCGGAUUUCAGACUUAUUUUGAAAUUUCAUAAUUUUUUUCUUUUUCUGAAAUUCAAAAUUUUAGUCUAGAGUCUGGAAUAUCAUUUCAAAAUCAAUAAAAAAAUGUUUUUUCUUAAUCUGAAAUACCCAUUUCGGACCAAAUAGUUAUUUUUGAAGAAACAAAUUAGUUAUGUUGUUCAAAUACACAUUAAAAGUGGUUAAUUUUCCAAAUUUAAAUAUAUAUUUCUUAUGUUUUUUCUAUUAAUUCUUUUUAUUCAUAUAAAAUUAUGACAUGUUGAAAUUCAUUAAAUUUUUUUCUUAAUAUAAUUUCUUGAUUUUGAUUUUUCUCUUGAUGUAAAUAAGAGGGUAAAUUACACCAUUCGUCCCUCGUGGAGGUGCCAGAAAGCACCUUGAGUCCCUAUUUUCAAAAAUUAACUCGGACCGUCCCUCAUUUGGUUAAAAGUUGCACGCUUCGUCCCUAACAAAUGAUUUUGUUGCAGGUGUAGUCCCUAUCUGAUCUGAAAUGACUAUAAUACCCUUUGUGUAUUUAUUUUCCAAUAAAUUUAAUGUUAUUAAUAUUAUUAAUAAUUUAAAAAAGAAAAAAAGCCACCUACCCUACCUUCCCACCGACCUUAUCGUCCAUAUCUCUCUUCCGCUCAUCUCUAACGUCUUCCAAGAACCCAAAACUACCCUCCUUAAACCAUCAUCGACAGUUACUCCCUCCAGCGACAACUCCCUCAGGUGUCUAUUCCUAUCACCGCCCCUAACUUUCGAUUAACCUUAUAUCUACAUCCAUCGACCUCUGAAACCAUUUCCAACAUCGUCAUCACCCCUUGAAAUGUCGAUCGUUACCUGUAAUCCAUCACCACCACCUCUUCGGCUGAAACCCUAGCACCUGAAAACCAUCGUUGUCUUCGUAACAUUGUAAUGGAGAGAGCCAGAGGACCGCCAUCUUUUCACCAAUGUCUCAGAUCUACACCAUCAUCUUACAAAUCGUACCUCUUAGUGUUUCGAGACGGAGCAGAAUGAGAGGGAGGGGAACGACGACAUCUAGCGAAAGAAGAACGAGGUUUGAAUAAAUCGAAUCAACUCUCCUCAUUAAAACAAUUUCUAGUAUUUUUUUUCAAACGAUUUUGGGGGAGAAACCAAAUGGAGUCACAGGUUUCAUUCGCAGGUUUCAUGGCAGUGGUAGGAUAAGGGGUUGAAGAGUUUGAGUCCGACCACGAUCUUCCUCGUGUCCUCUCAUCUUUGUUCUUCGUUUAACUGAUUUGUAGAUCAAGUGUAUGGAUUUGGGUUUGAUUUUAGGGUUUAAUUCCAGUACUUUUUUUUGGAGAUGAAUGGUGAUGUUUGCCGGUGUUGGCUUGUGGCCGGAGGUGACAGGUGGCUGGUGGUUGGAAGUGACUGGUGGUAGGAGGUGGUUAACGAUCGGAGGGGUUGGAACUGAUUUAAAAGGAAAUUUUAUUUUCUAAAAGUUAUAAUUAAAAAAUAGUAGAUAAAUUAUAAACAAAUAAAAAAUAAAUGAAAAAGAAAAAGAAAAGGGCAAGAUAGUCAUUUUAUGUAUGCGAGGGACGAAACAUGCACCUUUUAACGAUACGAGGGACGGUCCGAGUUAAUUUUUGAAAAUAGGGACUAAACGUGCUUUUUGACACAUGCACGAGGGACGAUUGGUGUAAUUUACCCUAAAUAAGAAUAUAAAUAGGAAAAAAAUAAAAUAAAAGAAUAUUUGAUUUUUGUAUAAUUAUCCCUUUUAAAGCAAAUUUUUGCUAUUAUCAAAGAAACUUUUAACUUUAGCCUAUUAAUUCAUUGUAAAAUAACCAAUUUGUUAUUUAUUAUAUAUUUUUUUUAUUAAUUUUGAUAUAUUAUAUAAUUUUAACGAUUAAUAAAAUAUAAUGAGCAAUAACUUUCAAAUAAUAUAUUUUUAAAGUAGGUUAUAACUCGUGGAAACCACGGUUAUAAAAUAAAUUAAAUAUUAAUUGUAAUAAAUUAGGCAACAGAUAUUAUAAAUCAAUUUUUUGCUGACAUGUUUCAUCUGUGUAAAAAAGAAGUAGUGAAUUAGUGGAAAUGUAAUUAAUGAGGAAAAACCGAAGACUGACAAAUGGCAAAUAAUUAAUUUCAAGUUCUAAUUAAUUGACACGUGGCAAAUUUGCUACUCUUUUAUUAGGUAGAGAGAUAUUUAAUGUCACACUUUUCAUAGAAAGUCUAAUUUUAUACACUAAUAAUAUUGUAUAUAUGUUAUAUUAUUAUGUUUAUUUAACUUUUUGCUAAAAUUAAGUAAAAAACAAAUUUUUUUCUCUGACAUUUCA